AAUUAAAAAAAAAAACCGGUACCCAUUAUUCCAAACCGGUUCAAGUAAUGGUUUCCACAUCCCAACUUUCAGAAACAUACGCAGAAACAUACGCAGCAAGAACGUCUAUUCCAAACCCUAAUCCCAAUCUUCUUCGUCUCUUCUUCGUCUCUUCUUCAUCAUUCUUCGUCUCUUCUCCAAAUCACAACCAUGGGUUAGUCAAAAUAGUUGUGAUAUCGGCAAAAUCGUUCUUCGAAUCCAACGAAUUCCUCCUUCAACAACGUCUCCACAAGCUUUCUUCUCACAAUCAGGUUCAAAAGAAAGCUCUACCAACAUUUUCACUCUACAUCUUUCAUUGAUACUGAGGUUGAGAUUGUGAUGAGAGUUGAGGAAGAAUUUGGCAUUAGCGUGGAAGAAGAAAGUGCUCA